rnacentral:ncRNA from 1 species
GCACGUAUGAGAGUUGUGGCGUACGGGCCGGCCUCGUUGCCGGGGCGCACGUGACGGUCCAAGUCUCCCUUGAACGGGGCCAUGGCCCGCAGAUGGUGCCAGGCCAGUAGAGGCCGUCACAGCGUUCCGGGAUCGGACCGCGCCUUCGAGUCGGGUUGCUUGAGAGUGCAGCCCGAAGCGGGUGGUAAACUCCAUCUAAGGCUAAAUACGGCCACGAGACCGAUAGUUUACAAGUACCGUGAGGGAAAGUUGAAAAGAACUUUGAAGAGAGAGUUCAUAAGAACGUGAAACCGCUCGGUUGUAAACGGACAGAGCUCGCGAAUCCCCGCCGGGCGAAUUCACGGUCGGUCUAACCGCCGGCCGGAUCUUUCGCUCGGUUAGCGGACGUCGCGACCCGUUGGGCGCCGGCCGAAUGGCCCGGGUGACGUUCGUCGCGUCGGUCGCGUUUCGGCGUGACCGUUCGCGCCGAGCCCCGGUGCUCAUGGUCGGCUCGCCCGACGGCAAGAACCGUCGACGCGGCCCCGUCGCAGGCGGGGUCCCGUCGGUCGGCGACGUGUUUCGAGCUACUUUCCGACCCGUCUUGAAACACGGACCAAGGAGUCUAACGUGUGCGCGAGUCAACGGUGAUCUUACGAAAAACCACGUUUGGCGCAAUGAAAGUGAACCGUUUACGGUGCGGACGAUGGCCUAGCGACCGAACCCACCGGCGUUCAAAGUCGCGCUGGUCCGCAGUCCGGGGGCGUCUCCGCCAAGUCGGCUUCGGCCGGCUGGGGGCGCACCCUUAGCGCACACGUUGGUACCCGAAAGAUGGUGAACUAUGCCUGGCCAGGAUGAAGUCAGGGGAAACCCUGAUGGAGGUCCGCAGCGAUUCUGACGUGCAAAUCGAUCGUCUGAGCUGGGUAUAGGGGCGAAAGACUAAUCGAACCAUCUAGUAGCUGGUUCCAUCCGAAGUUUCCCUCAGGAUAGCUGGCGCCGAUGUGUCCCGCCCGUUCGCGGGCGUACGGACGCCGGUGGGACUCCGCGCUGUACGGCGCGGUAACAACACGCUCGUAACACGGAGGAUGUCUCAUACGGUAAAGCGAAUGAUUAGAGGACAUUGGGGCCGAAACGACCUCAACCUAUUCUCAAACUAUAAAUGAGUGAGAUCGCCGGCUUUACCUGGUACACCGCGUGAACCGCGUGCGAAGCCGGCGACGGAACCCUAGGCGCUUAGUGGGCCAUUUUUGGUAAGCAGAACUGGCGCUGCGGGAUGAACCGAACGCCGAGUUAAGGCGCCGAAAUCGACGCGUAUUCAGAGACCAUGAAAGGCGUUGGUUGCUGAUGACAGCAGGACGGUGGCCAUGGAAGUCGGAAUCCGCUAAGGAGUGUGUAACAACUCACCUGCCGAAGCAACUAGCUCUGAAAAUGGAUGGCGCUGGAGCGUCGUGCCUAUACUCGGGCCGUCGACGGCAUAGUGGGGCCAGUCGUCGCUCGCGGCGGCCGGUCCCGGCAAGCCUCGACGAGUAGGAUGGCGCGGCGGUGUGCGUCGAAGGGCAGGUCGCGAGACCGCCUGGAGCCGCCGUCGGUGCAGAUCUUGGUGGUAGUAGCAAAUACUCGAGAGGGGCCCUCGGGGGCUGCCGUGGAGAAGGUUUCUUGUGAACAGCCGUUGUCCAAGAGUCAGUCGAUCCUAAGCCCGGGGAGAGAUCCUCGUACCACGGGCGAAGGCGUUUUCGAAUCGCCCUUGGGGCGAGAGGGAAUCCGGUUCGUAUUCCGGAACCCGACGCGGAACCGCUCCCUAGUGUUCGGGGCUCUUUUUGUCUCGUCUGGGUAACCAGAAUGAACUCGAA